GGCAGUUCUCGGGUGACGCAUCCCGGAAUUGGGCUCCCUCCUCUUUGGUUUUGGGUGCGUUACCCAAGAACCGCA
rfam:Myotis davidii contig20282, whole genome shotgun sequence.